rnacentral:misc_RNA from 1 species
AAAGAAGGUUGAAUCCUAAUAUGAAAGAGGUGGUGAAGAAAGAAGUCUUGAAAUUGCUUGAAGUUAGGAUCAUUUAUCCUAUUUUUGAUAGUAGUUUGGUUAGCCCAGUUCAUGUAGUCCCUAAGAAAGGAGGUGUGACUGUUGUGAAAAAUGAAAAUAAUGAGUUGAUACCGACUAGAAUCGUCACAGGAUGGAGGAUGUGCAUAGAUUAUAGGAAGCUUAAUAGCGCCACUAGAAAAUACCAUUUUCCCUUGCCUUUUAUUGAUCAAAUGUUAGAGAGGUUAGCAAAACAUUCAUAUUUUUGUUAUUUGGAUGGGUAUUCUGGUUUUUUUCAAAUCCUAAUACAUCCUAGUGAUCAAGAGAAAACCACAUUCACAUGUCCAUAUGGCACGUUUGCAUAUAAAAG